rnacentral:lncRNA from 1 species
UGUCUGGGUAGAUGUAGAUCCGUGCUGGCAGGCGACUGCGGCCCGUGACAAAGCGCAGGAAGCGGCUCCGGUCCUCUGGAGGGAGAAGGAAAUCGGUCAGCAAGUCCAGCACAGCCUGUGGUACCACCUUCAGCAGACCUGCCUGCAUAGCUGCCACCUGGGGAGUUACCUGCUCCUUGCUCUCCUCUAGCCGUGCCUUCUGGACCAGUUGGAUGAAACGAGAACGGUCCCCAUAUCCCACGACGAUGCCUGCACCCCCAGGGAUCAGCUCCACCACCUGUUGGUCACUCAGUACAGUGGUGAAUGUUAGUUCCUUCCCAAACUUGA